rnacentral:rRNA from 1 species
UUAACAUGAGAGUUUGAUCCUGGCUCAGGAUGAACGCUGGCGGCGUGCUUAACACAUGCAAGUCGAGCGGAAGUGCAGCAAUGCACUUUAGCGGCGGACGGGUGAGUUACGCGUGGGUAACCUGCCUUAUACUGGGGGAUUACAUA